CUUAUCAGCUGGAUUUCCUUUGAUAUCCACCGUCCCAUUGUUUGUGUAAUCAGCUUCUGCCAUAGUUUCUUUCCUGACCUGCAACACAGAUUUCUCAAGAGGAAUCCUUCUCUUCUCUUUUGGUUCUGGUUGUUGGAGGCAAGGUGAUGGGGUGGUAAUGCUAAUGGUAUUGGUAUAUAAACACGCUCAAAAAACAGUAAUAAGAAAGCAAGACGAAAAAGCAAAUAAAAAGUGAUUCGAGCCAAUAUAGAAAACCAAGUCAGAAUCUAACUCAAGCACAUCUGUGCAGUAAAGAG